AAGCAAGUUAAAAUCAUCGAGCAGCCUAAUGACUGUGUAAGCCAGAAAGAAAAAGUGCUGUGACAGAGGCCAAGUUAGCUAAAGUGAUUGACAUUGGUCUACUUCUAAAGCUAACAUCCGCUUCACAUAGUCCAGCUGGUUGGAAACAGUGCAGCAAAUUGUCAUGAUGGGAAAAAAUUGGUUGUGUCACUUAUGGAACACACCUUACAAAGUUAAUUGUCCUCUUGCUUAUGAAGACAGCACAACAAUGCUUCAUCAGGCAGUUACAGUUCAGAACUUUGGGGUCGCUGAGGGCAGCAGCAACCUGAAACAGAGAACAGCUGACAUGAAGUUGUAACCAAACCUGCUGAUUUCACAUGAGACCAAUUCUUUUAAAUUAUGAAGUACACAAAUUGCAUGUAGUCACAUUUUGAAAUGUCUUUAAUUGGGAAAGAAUUUCUUUUGAACUAGAAAAUAACAAUUAUUAGGUAAUAUGUUCAUUUUGUUCUCUUUAAAAGCUAUUAAAUUUGGUACAUAUUAUGAUAUUUAGCUAUGGGCAAUCCAGUGUUUUGACAAUUACAUGCUACAUAAAACAGGCUGCUGUAUCAUUCUUUUUAUAACUGAAUAGUGUGCAAACCAGUCACUA